AGAGUUUGAUCCAUGGCUCAGGAUGAACGCUAGCGGCAGGCUUAACACAUGCAAGUCGAGGGGUAUAUUUCUUCGGAGAUAGAGACCGGCGCACGGGUGCGUAACGCGUAUGCAAUCUACCUUUUACAGAGGGAUAGCCCAGAGAAAUUUGGAUUAAUACCUCAUAGUAUAUAGACCUGGCAUCAGGAUUAUAUUAAAGUCACAACGGUAAAAGAUGAGCAUGCGUCCCAUUAGCUAGUUGGUAAGGUAACGGCUUACCAAGGCUACGAUGGGUAGGGGUCCUGAGAGGGAGAUCCCCCACACUGGUACUGAGACACGGACCAGACUCCUACGGGAGGCAGCAGUGAGGAAUAUUGGACAAUGGGCGCAAGCCUGAUCCAGCCAUGCCGCGUGCAGGAUGACGGUCCUAUGGAUUGUAAACUGCUUUUAUACGAGAAGAAACACUACUUCGUGAAGUAGCUUGACGGUAUCGUAGAAUAGGAUCGGC
rnacentral:rRNA from 1 species